rnacentral:rRNA from 1 species
UCGAACGGAUCCUUCGGGAUUAGUGGCGGACGGGUGAGUAACACGUGGGAACGUGCCUUUUGGUUCGGAACAACUCAGGGAAACUUGAGCUAAUACCGGAUAAGCCUUUCGAGGGAAAGAUUUAUCGCCAUUAGAGCGGCCCGCGUAGGAUUAGCUAGUUGGUGAGGUAAAGGCUCACCAAGGCUACGAUCCUUAGCUGGUCUGAGAGGAUGAUCAGCCACAUUGGGACUGAGACACGGCCCAAACUCCUACGGGAGGCAGCAGUGGGGAAUCUUGCGCAAUGGGCGAAAGCCUGACGCAGCCAUGCCGCGUGAAUGAUGAAGGUCUUAGGAUUGUAAAAUUCUUUCACCGAGGACGAUAAUGACGGUACUCGGAGAAGAAGCCCCGG